rnacentral:lncRNA from 1 species
CGAAUCAUGCACCGUCGUCCACGGGAAUAGCAAUGGAUAUACCGAGAAAAGAUCCAUCGGAAGCCACCAAAAAUUUCGCUGGAGUUAUGGAAAGCUCCCACUUGGUUACCUCUCUAUGCUCUCUCUCAAAUGUUAUGCCAAAUCCAAGAAUGAGAGAAUGAGGAGGUCUUGUAAUUAUAGAGCCAAUUCAUUUGAAUUCAAAAUUCAAAUAUUGUACUAUGGUCAACAAGAGAGUGUCAGGUAUAGAUAAUUAACCACAAGAUUAAAUCUAACCAUUGGAUUUAAUCUAUGGUCCAUAUUACUGCAUAAUUAGCAUAAUCCAAGUCACAUUCUCUAGACCAAUCACUUGCACCAAUAAUAGGAUAUGAUCCACCUUACAAAUCUUCACCUUGGAUCACAUAACAUUCAUCACCAAAUUCCCCGAUUACAAGUGAUAUCCAUUAGUGUGGUCUUAUUUUUAUCAUCAUCGUUCACUCGAGCUUAGUACCUACACAACAAUUAACCAUUAUCAAUACUUAGUAUUGAUAAACAUUUGUUGAACUUACCAACCGCAAGUACUUUUGUUCCAACAUCUGCAGGGUUAUCAUCAGUUGCAAUUUUAAGCAAAAUAAAAUCACCAGAAGUUAACAUCUCCCUAAUGAAGUGAUACUUCACCUCAAUAUGCUUAGUACGUUCAUGAUAAACAGGAUUUUUUACACAACAUCAAUGAACUUUGACUAUCGAUAAAAAUCAUAGCAUUAUCAUUCAAGAAGUUUAAUUCACAUAGAAGGCCUUUCAGCCACAUGCAUUCCUUUAUAGUUUCAUUUAAUGCAACAUAUUCUGCUUCAGCGCUGGAGAGUGUAAGUAUAGGUUGCAACUGUGAUUUCCAAGUGAUACAAUUAUCACCUAAAGUGAAGAAGUAAGAAGUGG